AACGCACGAGACCUGCGGACCUGCGGAAGGAUCAUUACCAAUUUAUCCUUUUUGCAUGGAUAAAUUUUAUCCAUAUCCACCUUGUGUGCACUAUUGAAACAUGAGUUGGCAGGUAAAAUCCGCAUUGAGGAUUUUUGCAAGUGCGAUUGAUUUGCUCUCGUGGCCUGCCAAUUUUAUUUGUCUACACACGUCUCUUAGUUUGGACUGAAAUUAUUUAUUGAUUAAAUAAAUACAACUUUC
rnacentral:misc_RNA from 1 species